GGGCGCUCAGUUCAGUGGUCUAGAACACCUCCCUCCCUUGAGAGCUUGGGGAGACCUGGGUUCGAAUCCUGGAGUGCCCG